UGGGGAAUAUUGCACAAUGGGCGCAAGCCUGAUGCAGCCAUGCCGCGUGUGUGAAGAAGGCCUUCGGGUUGUAAAGCACUUUCAGCGGGGAGGAAGGCGAUAAGGUUAAUAACCUCAUCGAUUGACGUUACCCGCAGAAGAAGCACCGGCUAACUCCGUGCCAGCAGCCGCGGUAAUACGGAGGGUGCAAGCGUUAAUCGGAAUUACUGGGCGUAAAGCGCACGCAGGCGGUCUGUCAAGUCGGAUGGGAAAUCCCCGGGCUCAACCUGGGAACUGCAUUCGAAACUGGCAGGCUAGAGUCUUGUAGAGGGGGGUAGAAUUCCAGGUGUAGCGGUGAAAUGCGUAGAGAUCUGGAGGAAUACCGGUGGCGAAGGCGGCCCCCUGGACAAAGACUGACGCUCAGGUGCGAAAGCGUGGGGAGCAAACAGG
rnacentral:rRNA from 1 species